rnacentral:lncRNA from 1 species
ACAGAAGAACAGAUGUGAAGGCCCUGGGUGGGAACGGCUUCGCUGGUGUGAGAACAGGCUCCUGGGACUGAAUAGGCGUGAGCAGGGGGCCAGGAAGACAGGAAAGCUCUGGGUGUCCAGGACAGUUUGGGGAGGAGUAGCCACAGCAAAGCUGCUUGGGAGGUCACUCCCCUGGACAGAGGAGAGAUGGCCCAGGCUUGAAGGGUGCUGGUGGUGGGAAGCGUGCAGAUCUGGUAUCCACACUGGAGGGUUUGCUGGUGGCAUGGCUAUUGGUGUGGGAAAGAGGAAUCAAGCCUUACCGCAGUGCUUCUGGUGUGAACCACAGGGGCCUGAGGUCCCCUUCACUGAGCCAGGAACAAUGGGAGGGAGGGAAGCAGCUUUAGGGAGUGGAACUAGGACUGCCUCAUGGGGACGUAUAUGGUUACCGAAGAGGGACAGAGAAGGAAGCAGGAUCUGCAAACUGGGAUCUCAGGGCUGGAGGCAGAAUUUUGGACGUCAGCAUAUAGAUAUUAUUUAAAGCAAAGAGAAUGGAUGCAAACCUGUAAGCGAAUGCAAAUAAAGAAAAGCAGAAGGCAGAGGCUGAGUCAGCCUGAGGACAUUCCAAUAUUGAGAGGGGUGCAAAGAGUAGGGGAAGCUUCAAAGGAGACCAAGAAGGAACCCAGUGAACUACAGGAAGCAUCAGGAGGGUGUGACUGUGGCAUCAGGCAAGACCAAAGGAGCAAUGCGUGAGGAGGAGAAGGAGACCAACCGAAUACCGAGGAGGACCAAGAGCUGCCUGGUGGUCUGGGAGGAAGGAAGUCCUCGUGACGGGGACAAAAGUGCUUUCUUUGGUCAGUGCUUCAUUCUCGAACUCUUCUGUUAAGCAUUGUUGGGCACACCAAGGUACCCCAAGGGACUCACUCAGGAGACCUAACAAACCAUGUUGCCCAAGAAAGGCACUCCUUGCAGACCGCUUGUGCAGAAAGGAGCUGGUGGGGAUUUCAUGAUGAGGUAACAGCCUUGCUCUCGUUGACUGCUUCGGUUUCCAUGUUGUGUUUGUGACUUUCUGUUUCUAUUUCUGAACUAAGCCUGUAUUUGUUACUGAUGUGCAUACUACCAUUUGGUUUUCGCAUUGGUGGCAGGAAUGUUGAGUGGUGGUCUUAUGGUCUAAAGACCUGCAUUCUCUAAGGCAGCAGACAACAGGGAAGUCACUUGAGUUCCUUCCUACACUUACUAUAGAUCUCUUCUGAUCACUGAUGGAGUCCUAUGUGUAGAUGGUCUUUGUUGUGCACCAUUAUAAACUUAAAUGUCUCAAACUGAUUAGAGAAAAUAUAUUUUUCCAGAAGGUCAGCUGGACUGGAGAGCAACCCCGGAUGAGAAACAUCACAACUCCUUUGUCUUCGAGGGUCUCAUUCUGUCAUCCAGGGUGUAGUGCACUGGUGCAAUUUCAGCUGACUGCAACCUCUGCCUCCUGGGUUCAAGCAAUUCUCAUUCCUCAGCCUCCUGAGU